rnacentral:rRNA from 1 species
AUGGAACACCGGUGCCAGUCAAUCGCCAUGAUGAAAAGACGCCACACGACCGUCCUCGAUGACCUGCCCGAGUGGAUUGUCAUCGAAGAGAUCCUCAUCUGGUUGCCCCCCAAGGACCUCUUUCGCUGUCGUGCUGUCUGCAAGUUGUGGCGCAGUGCCACCUCCACCGACAAGUUCAUGCUCGACAAUUGCCACCGCCAGCCAUCGCUCCCUGUCAUCAGACAGGAUAUCCCUGGACACAAAGGAGUCAGGUUCGUUGUCUUCCGUGACAAAAGUGUCGGAGCCGAUCAAAAGCUCUGUCCAAUCAUCCAGCACUCUAAGUUCCAUAAUCUCCUGGGCGCCUGUGAUGGCUUUCUCAUCUUGUCCAGUGAGUCUGAUUUCUGGAUCUGCAACCCGGCCACUCGCAAAUGUGCUAUACUACCGCAACCUCGAGUUCCAUCAUCAUCAGCAAGGGUUCCCCGCAUCUACAUAGCCGGAUUCUACCAGCACCAACCAUCUGGGGAAUACCGGGUGCUCUGGUUCUCACGUGGCUGCCUUCGUGGCUACGUUCUCAGGUUUGGAUCCGACAAGCCGAGAAUCAUCAGUCGGCCAUCUGUGUCAUCGCGUUUGCCGGAAUUCUGGCACCAAGGGGAAUUUGAUUCCUGCUAUGGUUCACAAGUCAACCACCGCGGCAGCCUGCACUGGUUAACAGGAAACUACAUGGAGACUGCCGUGGACAUUAUGGUGUUUGACACAGUUACUCAGACGUUCCGGUAG